GGGUGCGAUCACACCAGCGUUAAUGCACCGGAUCCCAUCAGAACUCCGCAGUUAAGCGCGCUUGGGCUAGAGUAGUACUGGGAUGGGUGACCUCCCGGGAAGUCCUAGUGUUGCACCCUU
rnacentral:rRNA from 1 species